rnacentral:rRNA from 1 species
AGAGUUUGAUCCUGGCUCAGGACGAACGCUGGCGGCGCGCCUAACACAUGCAAGUCGAACGAGCGAGAGAGAGCUUGCUUUCUCAAGCGAGUGGCGAACGGGUGAGUAACGCGUGAGGAACCUGCCUCAAAGAGGGGGACAACAGUUGGAAACGACUGCUAAUACCGCAUAAGCCCACGACCCGGCAUCGGGUAGAGGGAAAAGGAGCAAUCCGCUUUGAGAUGGCCUCGCGUCCGAUUAGCUAGUUGGUGAGGUAAUGGCCCACCAAGGCGACGAUCGGUAGCCGGACUGAGAGGUUGAACGGCCACAUUGGGACUGAGACACGGCCCAGACUCCUACGGGAGGCAGCAGUGGGGAAUAUUGCACAAUGGGGGAAACCCUGAUGCAGCGACGCCGCGUGGAGGAAGAAGGUCUUCGGAUUGUAAACUCCUGUUGUUGAGGAAGAUAAUGACGGUACUCAACAAGGAAGUGACGGCUAACUACGUGCCAGCAGCCGCGGUAAAACGUAGGUCACAAGCGUUGUCCGGAAUUACUGGGUGUAAAGGGAGCGCAGGCGGGAAGACAAGUUGGAAGUGAAAUCCAUGGGCUCAACCCAUGAACUGCUUUCAAAACUGUUUUUCUUGAGUAGUGCAGAGGUAGGCGGAAUUCCCGGUGUAGCGGUGGAAUGCGUAGAUAUCGGGAGGAACACCAGUGGCGAAGGCGGCCUACUGGGCACCAACUGACGCUGAGGCUCGAAAGUGUGGGUAGCAAACAGGAUUAGAUACCCUGGUAGUCCACACCGUAAACGAUGAUUACUAGGUGUUGGAGGAUUGACCCCUUCAGUGCCGCAGUUAACACAAUAAGUAAUCCACCUGGGGAGUACGACCGCAAGGUUGAAACUCAAAGGAAUUGACGGGGGCCCGCACAAGCAGUGGAGUAUGUGGUUUAAUUCGA